GAUGAACGCUGGCGGCGUGCUUAACACAUGCAAGUCGACCGGAAAGGCUCCUGCUUGCAGGGGUACUCGAGUGGCGAACGGGUGAGUAACACGUGGGUGAUCUGCCCUGCACUUCGGGAUAAGCCUGGGAAACUGGGUCUAAUACCGGAUAGGACCACAUUUUGGAUGGUGUGGUGGAAAGUUUUUCGGUGUGGGAUGAGCUCGCGGCCUAUCAGCUUGUUGGUGGGGUAAUGGCCUACCAAGGCGUCGACGGGUAGCCGGCCUGAGAGGGUGUACGGCCAGACGGGGACUGAGACACGGCGCAGACGCCGGCGGGAGGGAGCAGUGGGGAGUGUGGGGCAAGGGGCGCAAGCCGGAUCCAGCAGGGCCGCGGGGGUGAAGAAGGUCUGCGGAUUGUAAAGCCCUGGCGGCGGGGACGAUGGUGACGGUACCCGCAGAAGAAGCCCCGGCUAACUUCGUG
rnacentral:rRNA from 1 species